UGGGGAAUUUUGGACAAUGGGCGAAAGCCUGAUCCAGCCAUGCCGCGUGAGUGAAGAAGGCCUUCGGGUUGUAAAGCUCUUUUAGUCGGAAAGAAAGAGUUGCAAUGAAUAAUUGUGAUUUAUGACGGUACCGACAGAAAAAGCACCGGCUAACUACGUGCCAGCAGCCGCGGUAAUACGUAGGGUGCGAGCGUUAAUCGGAAUUACUGGGCGUAAAGGGUGCGCAGGCGGUCUUGCAAGUCAGAUGUGAAAGCCCCGGGCUUAACCUGGGAAUUGCGUUGGAAACUACAAGACUAGAGUGCAGCAGAGGGGAGUGGAAUUCCAUGUGUAGCAGUGAAAUGCGUAGAGAUGUGGAAGAACACCGAUGGCGAAGGCAGCUCCCUGGGUUGACACUGACGCUCAUGCACGAAAGCGUGGGGAGCAAACA
rnacentral:rRNA from 1 species